GUGGGGAAUUUUGGACAAUGGGCGCAAGCCUGAUCCAGCAAUGCCGCGUGCAGGAAGAAGGCCUUCGGGUUGUAAACUGCUUUUGUACGGAACGAAACGGUCCGGGCUAAUAUCCCCGGGUCAUGACGGUACCGUAAGAAUAAGCACCGGCUAACUACGUGCCAGCAGCCGCGGUAAUACGUAGGGUGCAAGCGUUAAUCGGAAUUACUGGGCGUAAAGCGUGCGCAGGCGGUUUUGUAAGACAGUGGUGAAAUCCCCGGGCUCAACCUGGGAACUGCCAUUGUGACUGCAAGGCUAGAGUGCGGCAGAGGGGGAUGGAAUUCCGCGUGUAGCAGUGAAAUGCGUAGAUAUGCGGAGGAACACCGAUGGCGAAGGCAAUCCCCUGGGCCUGCACUGACGCUCAUGCACGAAAGCGUGGGGAGCAAACAGGAUUAGAAACCCUGGUAGUCC
rnacentral:rRNA from 1 species